GAAAUGCGAUAAGUAAUGUGAAUUGCAGAAUUCAGUGAAUCAUCGAAUCUUUGAACGCACCUUGCGCUCCUUGGUAUUCCUUGGAGCAUGCCUGUUUGAGUAUCAUGAAAUCUUCAACGUAAAUCUUUUGUUAACUCAAUUGGUUUCUACUUUGGUAUUGGAGGUCUUUGCAGCUUCACACCUGCUCCUCUUUGUUCAUUAGCUGGAUCUCAGUGUUAUGCUUGGUUCCACUCGGCGUGAUAAGUUAUCUAUCGCUGAGGACACUGUAAAAGGUGGCCAAGGUAAAUGCAGAUGAACCGCUUCUAAUAGUCCAUUGACUUGGACAAUACUUUUAUGAUCUGAUCUCAAAUCAGGUAGGACUACCCGCUGAACUUAAGC
rnacentral:misc_RNA from 1 species